CCUCUCGAUUUCUUCUCAUAAAAAUCAAAUCGACGAGAUUUGGAGCUGCUCGUGAUGCCACAGAAAAGAAAUGGUCGUGUUGUUAUUUAAGUUGAUUCACAUGAUGGUGGCUGUCGAGAAUUAGGGUUGAUUCUGUGAAGAACCAUGAGAAGAUUUGAUGAAGAUUAAAUGGGUUUUUGCUCUGGAUCUGAGACAGGGAAAGUACAAUGGUGCUAUUGAUUGAUUCAAAAACACACGAAAGAUGGUGGCGUUGUUGAGAUCGAGAAGCUGUUGUUGGUGGUGUUUGAAGAGCGACUACAAUCGAAACUUUUGGGAUUGAAUGACAUUGGAACGGUGGUGAAGAUGGUGGUGAUUAGCUUUUGAUAAAUUCAGAAGCUAGGGUUUUUAAUUGAUCGUCGAUGGGUGGAUGUUCUUGAGAUGAAAUAUGGAUAAAGCUGCUGUUGUUAGAAUUGGAAAUGGAUUGAAUACAGUGAAAGCAGAGACGAAUUGAGGUGAUGAAGCUGCAAACUGGUGGUGUUAUGAAGGCUGAAUGGUGUUGUUGCAGUAGCAGAAUGAUAUGAGCAAUGGAAUACUGCUCUUAGGUGUGAAGGUUGGAAAUCAAAAGCUGGUGAAGAAACUGGUUAAGUGUGAGAACUGGAUUCGAGAUGACACAAUCGAUCAGAGGAAUCAAAAGCGAAAUGGUGGUUAAAUAGGUUAAUUGGUUGAACAAAGAAGGUUGCAGUUGAUUGGGCAUACCCAUUCGAAGAGAAGAAGUUGUUUGUGCUUACGCUUAGUGUUGGCUUAGAAGGUUAUCAUGUCCAUAGUGAUGGGAGGCAUGUAACCUCUUUCCCUUACCACACCGAUUUGUUCUUGAGGAUGCUGCUGGUUUAUCACUGUAUAUGGGGAUAUUGAAGUGCAUUCCAUUUUUGCGGCUACCUUACCAACAUCGCAUCCAAGUUUUGAACCACAGAGGCAUCUAGAGAUGUCUAGUGCUUGGCAAGCCCUACCUCUUUCUGAUGGACCUGUGGAACUUUUCAUAGGUAUCCUUUCUGCUGGAAACCAUUUCACAGAGAGGAUGGUUGUUAGGAAGUCAUGGAUGCAGUCUAAACUGAUCAAAUUGGCAAAUGUGGUUGCUUGAUUAUUUGUAGCACCGAAUGGAAGAAAGGAAGUGAAUGUAGAGCUAAAGAAAGAAGCAUAAUUUUUUGGUGAUAUUGUUAUUGUCCCCUUUAUGGACAGUAUACAAAUGAAUUUUUGGUGGGUAGAAAAGAGGGUACUAAGAGCAAUUGCAGUGGUGCGAGUAUAACCAAAGACCAAAGAGGGAAAAAAAGACCAAAUUUUGGGUUUAGUCUGGUGUGUGACGUUACGGUGGAAAAAUUAAAUUUGGUCAGACGUACGUUAU